GGAUAAUAAUAGUACUUAAUUCCCAGAGUUGUUGUGAGGAUCAAAUGAGAUAAAAUUUGUAAGGCCCUUUGUAAAUCUUAUAGCUCCAUAUAAAGGUUAAGUAUUAUUAUUAUUAUAUCUAUCAUCAUCAUUUUUUCUUUAGUCACAAAAUUUCCCAUUUUUUAUGGAUACAAGAAAAUUUUAUUGAUAUGAUAUGAUAUGAUUCAUUCAACCUCGGAACUGGAAGGGAUUUUAAGCUUAUGCAACUUGCAUAGGAAGUCACUAAUGGGAUUUGGGUCUAUUGGACACUAAGUCUAUCCCUCUGUGGAGAUGCAGCAUAGAUGAUCUAUAUACCUACCAUCUUUUCCAGGUCAUAUUUCAGAAUGUCCAUAUGGUAUCCAGAAGAUCCAUUGUCUGUACUUUUAAUGUAGCCUAAAAUCUGGAGGGACAGGGCUACGAUUGGAAGAGUGACCACAUUCAUGUGAGACAUCACUUAUAUCAUUUGGAGCCAGUGACCUCAUCACUACAUCCAGAUCAAACUGCCUCUUCAUUGGAAACCAUUGGGAGGAUAUCACUAUUGGAAAGAUGGGUUCUCUGUCUCAGAUAAAGAAGGUCCCCAGGAAAUUCAGUGGUUGGACCAGAUCACACAUGUAACUGAAUGACAGAGGAAGGAUUUGAUCUCAGGGCUCACUUCGACACAAGCUAUUUCCAUCCUCCCACUUCUUCAAGCUGGGAGCUGGGACUAGAGCUGAUCCUGCCACCAGAUGGAGACCUUGGUUCCUGCUUCCAUGGGAAGUUGGGGAAGGAAAUUUGCACCUGGCCAGAGAGCGAGCUGGAGCAGCAUCCCUUAGGGGAGGGCCAGACUCUGCCCCUGCUUCAGUCAGGCCAAGGCCUGCAUAGUCCAAGGAAAAGUGGGGUCAAGCUGAGAGAGCUUAUGGAAAAGGGCAAAUUCUGA
rnacentral:lncRNA from 1 species